AUUGAACGCUGGCGGCAGGCCUAACACAUGCACGUCGAACGAGUGGCGGACGGGUGAGUAAUGUCUGGGAAACUGCCUGAUGGAGGGGGAUAACUACUGGAAACGGUAGCUAAUACCGCAUACCAUCGGAUGUGCCCAGAUGGGAUUAGCUAGUAGGUGGUGUAACGGCUCACCUAGGCGACGAUCCCUAGCUGGUCUGAGAGGUUGACCAGCCAGACUGGAACUGAGACACGGUCCAGACGCCUACGGGAGGCAGCAGGGGGGAAUAUUGAACAAUGGGCGCAAGCCUGAUGCAGCCAUGCCGCGGGUAUGAAGAAGGCCUUCGGGUUGUAAAGUACUUUCAGCGGGGAGGCGUUACCCGCAGAAGAAGCACCGGCGAACUCCGUGCCAGCCGCCGCGGUAAUUC
rnacentral:rRNA from 1 species